rnacentral:lncRNA from 1 species
GCGUUGUGGAAAGUGCGUCUGCCUAGGAAGGCAGGCCGGCAUGCUUUCAAAUCUUAGCUCUGCUGCCUACUUGACGGCCAGGCUUAGCAAGUGUCUCUAGCCGUUCCAAGCCUUUUCUAGAUCUGUAAAACUGGAAGAAGAAUACUUGUCUCGCAAGGAACAUGUGAGAAUUCAUGAAAAUUGCCACCACAUACUAGGUGGCCAAUAAAUUAUAACUUUGUAUUUGUUUUUACUGACACUAGAUGAGAGCUGCUUCCCUGGGAAGCGGGAGGAGGAGAAACAAUAAUAUCUGCCCUUGGCUCAAGUUCUUCCACCCAUCUCUCCAUGUCAACCUAUUUGUCUUUAAGGCCUUGCUCCACCAACCUUCUGUUUCCUCUGGACACCCACCCCCACUUAGCAUCCAUAACCCCUUGUUCGGCCCUGGAGCAUGACCUCACUCAGGCCAUGCUUCAUACUGGUAUGUAAUAUUUCUUCACCCUCUCAGAGACUCCGUUUCCUAAUCCCCUAGACUUCAGUUUAAACAUCACUUCCUGAGGGAGUCUUUCCCGACCCUUUCCCACCCGCAGGGUACCUCCCAGUGUGUGAUGUCCUUGUCUGCCCCAACACCGGCUUUUAAAAACACUUAAAAAAAAACAAAAACAAAAACAAAAACAAAAAAACAGUGUCUCCUAUAUUGCCCAGGCUGGUCUCGAAAUCCUGGGCUCAAGAGAUCCUCCCCCCUAGGCCUCCCAAAGUGCUAGGAUUACAGGCAUGAGUCACUGCGCCCGGCCUAAAAACACUCUUCAUGCAUGUAAUUAUUUGUUUAAUGUCUCUCUUCCUCUUGUUUGUCCAUAAGGUAGCAAACAAGUCUGUCUGGUUUUCUGCUUUAUUUCUAACAUGCAAUGUAGAACAUGGAGGAUGUCUGAUAAGUAAGUGAAUACAUGAACGAGUGAGUGUGCGGUAUGUUAGCCAUGUCUACCAUGGGCAAGAGCUUAGCAAGUGGCCCAAUAUUUGCCAAUAUUUGACCCCUAGAGAUGAUCUCUAAAUUUCCUUUCAGUUCUAGCUUUAUGAUUUUAACGGGAUCAGGAAUGUGAAAGUGCUUUGUAAGGUGUAAGCUAUUUUAAGGGAAAAAAAAGUUUCUAUUAGUGACUUCUCUCCCCAGCUAGAAUAAAAACCCUUGGGAGCAGGGGCCCUAAUUUAGUCCCGAUUGUGAUAGUCCCCAGAGGGCAAGCUCUAUCAGGCAGUCCAGAGAAGUUGGGCAAAAUCAGAGAGGCCCUCCUGGGGUGUUUGCUAGAUUUCCCUAAAAUAGUGAACUUUCCUGUGUCUUUGAAAGUUUCCAUAAUAAGAAAAGAGUGGAGAAAAAGAAACCCGCAGUGAGUAAAUGAGUCAAAUGGGGGAAGACCAUGAGGCACACUGGGAAAUCUGCCUUUUCAGUCCCUCGUUUCUUCAGCUGCGUUUAAUACAACAUUCGCGUUUUUAUUCUUGGCCCGCAUCCCUCUGGCACUGAGGAGCUCUGACUUACAUCCCAGGGAGCCCUGAUGGUGACGAGCCAGCCUCCAGCCUCCAGCUCCCGUGCUCUUGAGUGCGCUGCUCCCGGGAUUCCCCACCCAGCCCUCUGGACAUCCGGGGGCGGGGAGGGAGGGUGGUUUCCCCGGCAAAACCUGCCCGAAGCGGCGGGCCUGUUCUAAAAGUUUGCAUUUUUCAAAGGGGAGGAAUGCAAAAUUGCAACCGUACUAUCAAAUGUUUCUCUCCUAAAGGAUAAUUGUGUAUAUACAUGGAAGUGGGGUCGGUAGUGAGGGGAGGGCAAGGUCAUAUAUUGCAGGAGAACCACUUCAGGAAAGGUCUCAAAGUUGCCGCGAUUUUCCUAAAACCUUAAACUUAGGACUUUUGGCAGAAUUGAUGGUCCUUAACCAACAAUUACAAGGCAGACCAGGCCCUGGGGAAAACUAGCUCUGACUAUCCUCACCCAGGGAAGGCUCAUUGGAAACACUCCGAGAGAUGCCUUAAUUAUUAAUAUUUACCAUAGAGAUUGUUCUAGGAGCAACGCCUCCUUGGGAAACCAAAAUUAUAUCAAGAGGAGGCUUGGUAAGUGUUGGGGGCAGGGAAUGGGCCGCUGCCACUCAGAGACUCUUCUGUUGCCUGGUUUAAUUUUCCUAGUGGCACCUAUCUAAUAUUUCCUUGCAUGUUUACUUGCUUAUCUAUUGUCAGUCUCCAUGAGAACAAAGAUCUUGCCAGUGCUGUUGGUUGCCUGAUUUCCAGCCCCUGGAAUACAGCCUGGUAGGUGGCAGGCCCUCAGUAACUAUUUGUUGAAUGACUAAAUAAAUGGAGAGGGGUGGGUGUGGGCUCCAACCACCCAGCUCUCACUUCCCC